rnacentral:rRNA from 1 species
AUAGGGGAGCCGGAGGGAAACCGAGUCUUAAUUGGGCGUUAAGUUGCAGGGUAUAGACCCGAAACCCGGUGAUCUAGCCAUGGGCAGGUUGAAGGUUGGGUAACACUAACUGGAGGACCGAACCGACUAAUGUUGAAAAAUUAGCGGAUGACCUGUGGCUGGGGGUGAAAGGCCAAUCAAACCGGGAGAUAGCUGGUUCUCCCCGAAAGCUAUUUAGGUAGCGCCUCGUGAAUUCAUCUCCGGGGGUAGAGCACUGUUUCGGCUAGGGGGCCAUCCCGGCUUACCAACCCGAUGCAAACUGCGAAUACCGGAGAAUGUUAUCACGGGAGACACACGGCGGGUGCUAACGUCCGUCGUGAAGAGGGAAACAACCCAGACCGCCAGCUAAGGUCCCAAAGUCAUGGUUAAGUGGGAAACGAUGUGGGAAGGCCCAGACAGCCAGGAUGUUGGCUUAGAAGCAGCCAUCAUUUAAAGAAAGCGUAAUAGCUCACUGGUCGAGUCGGCCUGCGCGGAAGAUGUAACGGGGCUAAACCAUGCACCGAAGCUGCGGCAGCGACACUGUGUGUUGUUGGGUAGGGGAGCGUUCUGUAAGCCUGUGAAGGUGUGUCGUGAGGCAUGCUGGAGGUAUCAGAAGUGCGAAUGCUGACAUAAGUAACGAUAAAGCGGGUGAAAAGCCCGCUCGCCGGAAGACCAAGGGUUCCUGUCCAACGUUAAUCGGGGCAGGGUGAGUCGACCCCUAAGGCGAGGCCGAAAGGCGUAGUCGAUGGGAAACGGGUUAAUAUUCCCGUACUUGGUGUUACUGCGAAGGGGGGACGGAGAAGGCUAUGUUGGCCGGGCGACGGUUGUCCCGGUUUAAGCGUGUAGGUGUGUGUUCCAGGUAAAUCCGGUUCACUUUAACACUGAGGCGUGACGACGAGGCACUACGGUGCUGAAGCAACAAAUGCCCUGCUUCCAGGAAAAGCCUCUAAGCAUCAGGUAACAUCAAAUCGUACCCCAAACCGACACAGGUGGUCAGGUAGAGAAUACCAAGGCGCUUGAGAGAACUCGGGUGAAGGAACUAGGCAAAAUGGUGCCGUAACUUCGGGAGAAGGCACGCUGACACGUAGGUGAAGUGAUUUACUCAUGGAGCUGAAGUCAGUCGAAGAUACCAGCUGGCUGCAACUGUUUAUUAAAAACACAGCACUGUGCAAACACGAAAGUGGACGUAUACGGUGUGACGCCUGCCCGGUGCCGGAAGGUUAAUUGAUGGGGUCAGCGCAAGCGAAGCUCCUGAUCGAAGCCCCGGUAAACGGCGGCCGUAACUAUAACGGUCCUAAGGUAGCGAAAUUCCUUGUCGGGUAAGUUCCGACCUGCACGAAUGGCGUAAUGAUGGCCAGGCUGUCUCCACCCGAGACUCAGUGAAAUUGAACUCGCUGUGAAGAUGCAGUGUACCCGCGGCAAGACGGAAAGACCCCGUGAACCUUUACUAUAGCUUGACACUGAACAUUGAGCCUUGAUGUGUAGGAUAGGUGGGAGGCUUUGAAGUGUGGACGCCAGUCUGCAUGGAGCCGACCUUGAAAUACCACCCUUUAAUGUUUGAUGUUCUAACGUGGACCCGUUACCCGGGUUGCGGACAGUGUCUGGUGGGUAGUUUGACUGGGGCGGUCUCCUCCUAAAGAGUAACGGAGGAGCACGAAGGUUGGCUAAUCCUGGUCGGACAUCAGGAGGUUAGUGCAAUGGCAUAAGCCAGCUUGACUGCGAGCGUGACGGCGCGAGCAGGUGCGAAAGCAGGUCAUAGUGAUCCGGUGGUUCUGAAUGGAAGGGCCAUCGCUCAACGGAUAAAAGGUACUCCGGGGAUAACAGGCUGAUACCGCCCAAGAGUUCAUAUCGACGGCGGUGUUUGGCACCUCGAUGUCGGCUCAUCACAUCCUGGGGCUGAAGUAGGUCCCAAGGGUAUGGCUGUUCGCCAUUUAAAGUGGUACGCGAGCUGGGUUUAGAACGUCGUGAGACAGUUCGGUCCCUAUCUGCCGUGGGCGCUGGAGAACUGAGGGGGGCUGCUCCUAGUACGAGAGGACCGGAGUGGACGCAUCACUGGUGUUCGGGUUGUCAUGCCAAUGGCACUGCCCGGUAGCUAAAUGCGGAAGAGAUAAGUGCUGAAAGCAUCUAAGCACGAAACUUGCCCCGAG